rnacentral:misc_RNA from 1 species
AGGUUUCCAUACACAUCAUACUGAUUGCAAAAAGAUAAUUAGAAUCAUUAACUAUAUCCAUAGCUGUAUUUAAAACUAGAAAAAAUAGGAACCUCAUCAGGAUUGGAACACAAAUUGGGCUUGAGCUUCAGUUUACUGCAAUGAAAUUCACAACUUGGCAUGUCUCAUCAUAAAGCAACCAACUUGUACAUGAACUACACAAAUGGCACAUGUUUCAUGGUGAACAAGUCCAACCAAGAAUUUCUCAUAAUCUAACUAAUGCAGAGGAUAAAAUAAGAUUGUCAGGCAGAAGAAGUUAAGACCCUUCUGCAUAUCACAAGAAUGUGCCCUGAGAGUACCACAAGUUUUCCAUUCAAGGACUAAUCCUGAUGAAUUCAAUUUCAGCUAAUAGUCUGGACUAUGCCAAAAAGGGGCUCAUCACCAAUUCUGUUUCUUUCCUUAUCAGAUUGGGAAAGGAACAUAGAUAUGUGAUACACAGGCACCAAGUAUGCUCGCCGGUAUUAGCACUGGCAAGCUGUGGACAGAACAAGGUCCAAGUCGUAGCUACUGGUGGGUCCCAACCCGACACCCAAACGAUUGAAAAAUUGUACAAGCCUGCAAGGACGACAUCCAAUGCCGUGCAAGUCUAGCCUGAAAUUCCCCGAAAACCGCAAAACCCUCAUAUCGGGAAAUAUUAUCAGGAAAGGUUUAAUGAGUUUAAUCCAGUUCAUUAACUACACAACAGAUUACAAUAAUUAUUCAUUGGAACUCCAAAUUUUCCCAAUUCCAGCAAUUUAAUGCAAAUUAAAGUAACACACAAUAAAGCCAGAUAUCGGCCAAAAUUUCCGGAAAAGGACUAGAAAGAUAGAAGAAGAAGAAGAAAGAAGAAUCUGGGCUAGGCAUCCAUGGCUGGCAACAUCCCAAAUGAGAGACCAUAGCAAAAAAAAAAAAAAAUUACCAG